ensembl:lncRNA
CGUAAAGCGGCGCGGCGGCGGUCCCGGGAGCGGCGGUAACAAAACCCAAACAAACCAAACAGAUCACACAAGGACAGAGUUCACUGAAAUGUGAGAAUGGCCAAUUCUUUAAGAGGUGAAGUGAUAAAACUGUACAAAAAUCUGCUGUACCUUGGAAGGGAGUAUCCCAAAGGAGCAGACUACUUCAGAAGACGUUUGAAAGCAGCUUUUCUGAAAAACAAAGAUGAGACAGACCCUGAAAAAAUUAAGCAGCUGAUUGCCCGGGGAGAGUUUGUUAUAAAGGAGCUGGAGGCUUUGUACUUCCUGAGGAAAUACCGAGCCAUGAAGAAGCGCUACUAUAGCGACGACAAGCCCUGACUGUGCCGCCUGUAACCACACACACCCAGUAAAGGUAACAAUAAAAGCUCUAACUGCAAAGAAGUGACAUGUAAAUCCUUCCAAACCCUCUACAGCACAAAAUGAGGGAGCUGCUUCCCCGCCAGAGAUCACUUGAAGGGUUUGCGGUGUGCAGGUUAUGGAUAAUAAGUUUUCCUGUGCUGCUUUUGACCUCCUCAAACUAAAACUUCAGGUAUGAAAGGAUUUUGCAGGAAGGAGUGGUUGCACAGCCCUGUUUUGUUUCACUUCAAUGUAUGUGUUGAACAGAAACUCUUCUUACCCCGUAGCUGUGUGUUUGGGUGUCAGUUCAAGGUGCAGUGCUUGUUACCUGAAAGAUGAACCCGAUUAAAAAUCUUCCAUGGUGAACGAUCCAUUUCUGCUGGAAAUGAGCACCCUCUCAGAAGUGAGGUUCCCUCCCUGGAGAGGAAGUGCUGUGUUCAGUUCUGGUGUCCACAGUGCAGAAAAGAUGAGCUACAGGAGAGGACCAAGCAGAGGCCAUAAACAUGAGGGGUCUGGAGCAUCUCUUACAAGGAGGGACUGCAGGAGCUGGGCCUGUUUAGUCCGGACAAGACAGAGAGGGGAAUCUCAUCAAUGCAUAUAAGUGUCUCAAGGGUGGAUGUGAAGGGGAUAAUACCAGACUCUUUUCAGUGGUGCCCAGCAACAGGACAAGGAGCAAUGGCCAUAAAUGUAAUGCAAGAAGCUCCACCUCAGAAUGAGGAAGAAUUUCUGUACAUUGAGGGUGGCAGAGCCCUGAACAGUUGCCCAGGGAGGGUGGGGAGUCUCCUCUGUGGACAUCCCAAACUCACCUGGACUUGUUCCUGUGUCACCUGCUUCAGGUGACCCUGCCUGGGCAGGGGGUUGGAUUAAAUGGUCUCCAGAGGUCGCUUCCAACCCUGGCUGUUCUGUGAAAGCAAGUUCUUACAGCUUUUAACCUUAUCUGCUCAGCUUACAUAGGCACCACCUUCCUGUGUCUCCCUUACUCAGGGAGACAACUGGGGUCAGGAAAGGGUGAGUUUAACAACAGUGCUUUAAGCACUUGGGUCCUGAAGACAAUUCCUGCUACUACUGAUUUCUGCUGUUGUGUAACUGCUGCAGCAGGAAUAGAAAACUUGAUCUUUGCCCCUGGAAGAGAAGUUUGGCCAUGGCUGUUUGCUCCAGGCUGUCUGUAGGCCUUGGCUCAACUCACACUUGUGUCAGAGCUGAUACUCUGUUGGGUUGGUUGGGGUUUCCACCAACCAAGUGACACUGGAGGGAGAAACCAUCUUUGAAAUAUUGGUAAGGAAUCACUGCAGCAGAGCUGUUGGCAGUCCUCAGCAAGUCUUCACACUAGCACUAAGGAGUGUUGUAAGGUCACUCAAAGAAUUGCCAGCAAAGGCAUCAGCAAAACCAGGCUUAAUGUAAAAGUGAAAGUGUAACAAAGUCCUUUCAACAAGGUUCACUGUUUACUAUGGGGUUAAAGCACAGAGAAAAAACAAACUAAAAUCUACAAUCAAUCAAUAAAAAGCCAAAAUCAACCAAAACUUAUCUCUGAGGAUGCUGGGGACACAAAAAAGGGUAAGGAUGGAAAAAGGCAAGGAUAAAAUGCGUAAGGGAGAUGCUCCCAUUGAAUCACAAAGUUCAGAGUGGACCCCCUUGUGAAACUGAGCCCCAGAUCUGACCUGUGGUUUAUGCCUUAAGGUUUAACAGCACUUAGUCCAUAGUUUAAUUUAAAAUAAUUUAACUAAAGAUUCAUACAGAAAUUCCUAUAAGCACAACAGCAACUCGCUCAUAGGCCUGAGCUACUUGCAAAUGUACAGUACUUAGUAUCUCUGAGAGCACUAUCCAUGGUACAUUUCCUACAGCAUAUCAACACCCAUAGUCCUGAAGGAGUAUGUACAAGGUAUAAAAUUCCCCUGGAAUUCACUGAAGCACUUACCUUGGAUACCUUUGUCAUCUUGUCAGUAGCUGAAGGGUUGAGCCUCAAGGAAGGGGGGCAUUGUUCCAGGUUCUGUUGUCACUGCUGGUCCUCCAAAUACAGCAAACAGGAGUUCACUGGCGGCUCUGAGGGGCUGCACACACAUGGAGACUUCUGGUCACUGCCCACUGCAGUCCAGGAGAGCUCCAAGGGCCUCACGCAGGCCCACUCUUUAUAGGGUCACAAGAGAGGUGGGUUUAGUCACAGCAAUCUUCCAUCCUGACUACAGUCCAGGUUGGUAACUUCCUUUGACAUUUCAAAAGAAAAAAUGCUGUUCCACUGGGGGUGUUCUUCAGGCAGGCAAAAUAAGUUUCCUGGGCUGUUGGUUACAAAGCAGGAGCUCUUCAGACAGCACCAAUUCCUAGGAACUGUUCCUGAAGAGCUCCAGAGAAGCUCAGCCCAGGUGUUGAACGAGCAUUUCUCAAGUUACAGCUGGCCUGAGGAGGAGGGGGUUUAAUUCUAGGACAGAAUUUAAAAAGUUACAGCAGGGUGCAGUACCUUGUAAUGAAACACACGUGCUCCAGUUUCUGCCACCACACUGAUGUGAAAAACUUCCACAUCAACUGAGCUCUUCUGCACUUCCACCUGCUCUGAGCAGCCACCCCUCUCAGAGACAGGGACUCCAAGGGGGCAAGGAUAGCAGCUCUGGGACAGGCAGCACCAGCACAAGUGCAAGAAAGAAUGGAGAAAAGUGCCAAGCACAAGGAAUUCGUGGGAUGCUCUGUUACCUGAAAUUCUUCUAGAGGAAAAGGAAACUGGGACAGACACUCACAAUAACUAUUUUUUAUUACAUUACAAUAAAUAGGAGCAGUACAGUUUGACAAAAAAAUGACAAAUUCCAGAUCACCUCACAGCACAUACUCCUAAAAACAUUAAAAAUUUUAAAACAAACAGUGGUCUUUUUUUUUUUCCUUUUUUUAACUUAAUGUCUGGCAUGACCAACAUUCCUAGGUCACACAACCAAAUUAUGGAAAAACUGGAUCACACUGCAUAUGUUCCACAUCAAAUAAAGCACAAUGUACAAAAUGUGCAUGUUUCAGUUUACACUAUACAAAAAUAGUUAAAAUACAUUCCAGGUAAACAUAUUACAUUAAGAAGUCAUUCUAGUAAGAAGUUGGCACUCAAGAGGAAAAAGCAGAAGUAUUUUCAACAUGAAAACACAAGACAGUGGAAUAAAGAAAUGUUAGGAAAGAUUUACCAUCUAUGUAGCUUUAUGUAAACUUGAGACACAAUGAUUUGUUUUACAGUUUGAUGGUCUUUGAAGGUAAUAAUUGUAUUGCUUCAUAGUCUAGACAAGAGCAGAAGAUUGUGUGUGUCAGUAUUUACCCAUUAUCCUGUUACUGCAACAAAGCCCACACAGCAAAAGAGAAGUAAAAAAUUUCAGGGCACUAAAACUGGUCAGAAUAAUUCAUUUUGGAGCAAACCAAGGAUCCAGGUAUUUAGCAGAGUUACAUAAAGCUACUGUAAGAAGGUGUUAUCCCUGACACAAGGCAGUUUGAUGUGGUGACAUGGGCAGUGACUCCCAGGCUUGCUCAGGAGCUGCUCUCAGGACACAGCACCCAGGGAUGUUCUGUGGAAGCAUCUCAAACAGGGCAGGGCAGGGCAGUGAUGAUGGAGGAACUUGUGCAAGCUGCAAUCCAACGUGCUUCACCAAAUCUCAACAAACAGGAAGACAAAACUGCACAACAGUGGCAAGGAUGGAAUUGGGUUGGAUUUAUUUUCAAGUAAAUAAGGGCUAAUCUAAAUGGAUUUUGUACUAAUUUAAUUAGACUGGCAGCUACAGCUCACUUUUGCUGAAAAACCCCAACAUUGGUUCAUAUAUAGCUUUAUAGUAGAGCUAUAGAAAUCCACUUUGGAUGAAUAAGACAUUUCAGCUACAAAUGCUCCUAACAGCUUAAAGUUAAAUUAACAUCAGAAUUUUAGACCAGCCCUAAUUUGACAUGCAGUGUGACUCAGUUACCAAAAUUAAAAUAACCUUAAGAUUACUUCCCAUUUGCUCAAGGCUUACAACCCACUUUUGCUACAUUCUUCAUCUAUUAUCAAGAGUGUAUAAAAUGUGCAAGUAACUGUCUCCAACACAUUUUAACCUUGGAAGCUCUGAAAUAUUUUGUGACAUUAAGAAUUUGUUCUUACUCCUUAUUGGUCCUUACAGUAUAAAGUUCUCCUGUUACUGUUUUUCAGAAUAUUUCAUAAUUUAGAUUUCACAUUGAAGCUGAGAGGAAGGAGUGGAGGGGCCUGGAUUUUGGUCAAGGGUGGGAGCAGGGGACACAGAAAGAGAAAGGUCUGAUUUCUCCCAGACACAAUGGAAUUAAAGAAUAUGGAGCAAUUCAGACACUCUGUGUUCCCUGCCAGCUUUGCAGGUCCUCACCUACAACAGUCACUCUGGGAUUUUUUUGUAGAAGCAAAGUAAUACUUUUCACAGAAAGGGUCCAAGUUACACGGUCCAAUUUUUACAUACAUGUGUAAAAUUUCCAUGGAAUACCUUAGGUUAGGGCAAUUAUGCUAUUCCCUGUUCCAAAAUUUCCAGUGUCCUGAACUCUCCUACCUCAGUGUCUUGUGUUUUAUUUUUUGGGUACUCCAGAGUCACACUUCCCAGUGUCAGUCUGCAGCUGAGUUAGCUCCUGUGGAGAAGUGCACCUUCAGAGACCAAAGCUCUCCUGAAACAACUCCACAUUUACAGGGAGACACCAGGAACUGGAAACACUGCAACUACUGGCUUGUACUUCAGUGGAUAACAAGGCUACUGCAGUACCAAAAAGUGAAAGCUCCUGCAAAAAUCCUGCAUUAAUUCAUUAAUUCCAAUCAGAACAAAACAAACAAACAACAACAAAAAAAA